CAUGGCUAAGAUUACUGUAGUAAAUUUUUAAAUUUAUAAAGAAACAGUAUUUAAUUAUUAUAUUUUAUUAUUAAUAUUUUGGUGAAAAAAAUAACUUUCCGAUAAAGUUCAAAACAAUUUUUUCGAAAAGCUCCAAAACAAAACAUCUUCCAAAAAGCUGCUCUCAGCUUUCUUAAAAAACUAAAACAAUUUUUUAAAAUUUUUAUCAAACACUAUUUUUAUCUAAAAAUAUUUUUAAAAAAUUAAAAAAUAUUUUUUGGCUCUCUAAAUUUUUUCCCAAAUAGAGCAUUAAAUUACAGUGGACUACCUUCUUCAUCGGAAAAUCUGCAGUGCGUCUGCUCACGGGGAUGCAGGGAGGGGGGCUCCCCACGAAAAUGAACUUGAAAAUUACUGAGGGAGACGUCCACUCGCAGCUGGCCGGUACAUCACAUCUCAUCCUUUGACAUCUAUAUCUAAUCCAACCAAAGCGCUGAUAUACAUACAAGGCGGAACGCACCACAACCGCACCACGGAUACCCCUGGCUUUUGUGUACGCCGGACCAGGCUUUUCACGUGAUUUGACAAGCCUCCCAAAACACAAAGCUAGAACCCAAGAGCAUUAG
rnacentral:lncRNA from 1 species